GGAUAACACUUGGAAACAGGUGCUAAUACCGUAUAACACUAUUUUCCGCAUGGAAGAAAGUUGAAAGGCGCUUUUGCGUCACUGAUGGAUGGACCCGCGGUGCAUUAGCUAGUUGGUGAGGCAACGGCUCACCAAGGCCACGAUGCAUAGCCGACCUGAGAGGGUGAUCGGCCACACUGGGACUGAGACACGGCCCAGACUCCUACGGGAGGCAGCAGUAGGGAAUCUUCGGCAAUGGACGAAAGUCUGACCGAGCAACGCCGCGUGAGUGAAGAAGGUUUUCGGAUCGUAAAACUCUGUUGUUAGAGAAGAACAAGGAUGAGAGUAGAACGUUCAUCCCUUGACGGUAUCUAACCAGAAAGCCACGGCUAACUACGUGCCAGCAGCCGCGGUAAUACGUAGGUGGCAAGCGUUGUCCGGAUUUAUUGGGCGUAAAGCGAGCGCAGGCGGUUUCUUAAGUCUGAUGUGAAAGCCCCCGGCUCAACCGGGGAGGGUCAUUGGAAACUGGGAGACUUGAGUGCAGAAGAGGAGAGUGGAAUUCCAUGUGUAGCGGUGAAAUGCGUAGAUAUAUGGAGGAACACCAGUGGCGAAGGCGGCUCUCUGGUCUGUAACUGACGCUGAGGCUCGAAAGCGUGGGGAGCGAACAGGAUUAGAUACCCUGGUAGUCCACGCCGUAAACGAUGAGUGCUAAGUGUUGGAGGGUUUCCGCCCUUCAGUGCUGCA
rnacentral:rRNA from 1 species